rnacentral:rRNA from 1 species
GUUUAUCAAAAACAUGGCUCUCCGUAUUUGAGAAUCACGGGAGGUCAGACCUGCACAAUGGCCCAAGGGUUCAAUUGCCGCGGUAACCUGACCGUGCAAAGGUAGCGUAAUAAAUAGCCUAUUAAUUGUUGGCCUGUAUGAAUGGUUAAACGCUGGUGGCGCUGUCUCCGUAGCAUUGCUUUGAAUUUAACUUUUGGGUGAAAAGGCCCAGAUCAGGCUGAAAGACGAUUAGACCCUAUCGAACUUUAGGUAGAUUAUCUUUGGGGCCUAAAUUUUCGGAAGCGCUUUGACGCGCCGAAACCUUUGGUUGGGGUAACCGGGGACUAUGAGAAACGCCCCCCCCUCGUGUGACACCCGUUAGUGGGGUAAAAUGGCUUUACCUUAGGGCAAUUGGCCUCAGGAGAGUACACCACUGGAGUAGAAAAUAUCAUGGCAGUGUAUUUGUAACUUGUAACAAGAAGCUAAAGGCCUGUCGUCUACGGGAGGCAGGAGUCUGUUAAAAGGGAAGAGUUACCGUAGGGAUAACAGCGUAAUCUUUCCGGCGAGACCACAUUAAGGGAAGGGUUUGCGACCUCGAUGUUGGCUUAGGGCUUCCUAAAAGUGCAGGGGCUUUUAAGGGUUGGUCUGUUCGACCAUUAAAGCCUUACGUGAUCUGAGUUCAGACCGG